rnacentral:lncRNA from 11 species
GAAGAGGUUGUUCCAGAUAUGAAACCUUUGGAAAAAAUACUGUUACUGGGCAUGGGACCGAUGUUUGUCUCCCUUGGCAACAUAGAGGAAGAUGUGCGCCAAACAUCUGUUGCACAUUCAGCUGUACUUGGACUUCUCCGCUACAAGUUACUUCUUCCAGGUCCCUUUUGUCGUAAAUUACAUACCUCAUCCCUUCUUCUGUUGAAUAAGUCCUCCAAGAAGGAUCGCAUAUGAAUAAACUCCACUUCAAAGCUAAU